rnacentral:rRNA from 1 species
AGAGUUUGAUCCUGGCUCAGGAUGAACGCUAGCUACAGGCUUAACACAUGCAAGUCGAGGGGCAGCAUGUCGGUUGCUUGUAACCGAUGAUGGCGACCGGCGCACGGGUGAGUAACGCGUAUCCAACCUACCCUUGUCCAUCGGAUAACCCGUCGAAAGGCGGCCUAACACGAUAUGCGGUUCUCAGCAGGCAUCUAGCGAGAACGAAAUGUGAAGGAGAAGGAUGGGGAUGCGUCUGAUUAGCUUGUUGGCGGGGUAACGGCCCACCAAGGCGACGAUCAGUAGGGGUUCUGAGAGGAAGGUCCCCCACAUUGGAACUGAGACACGGUCCAAACUCCUACGGGAGGCAGCAGUGAGGAAUAUUGGUCAAUGGACGAGAGUCUGAACCAGCCAAGUAGCGUGCAGGAUGACGGCCCUAUGGGUUGUAAACUGCUUUUAUAGGGGGAUAAAGUGUGCCACGUGUGGCAUAUUGCAGGUACCCUAUGAAUAAGGACCGGCUAAUUCCGUGCCAGCAGCCGCGGUAAUACGGAAGGUCCGGGCGUUAUCCGGAUUUAUUGGGUUUAAAGGGAGCGUAGGCCGUCUUAUAAGCGUGUUGUGAAAUGUCGGGGCUCAACCUGGGCAUUGCAGCGCGAACUGUGAGACUUGAGUGCGCAGGAAGUAGGCGGAAUUCGUCGUGUAGCGGUGAAAUGCUUAGAUAUGACGAAGAACUCCGAUUGCGAAGGCAGCCUGCUGUAGCGCAACUGACGCUGAAGCUCGAAAGCGUGGGUAUCGAACAGGAUUAGAUACCCUGGUAGUCCACGCGGUAAACGAUGGAUGCUCGCUGUUUGCGUCUGACGUAAGCGGCCAAGCGAAAGCGUU